CACGUAGGGGACGAGCGUUGUCCGGAAUCAUUGGGCGUAAAGCGCGCGUAGGCGGCCCGGAAAGUCGGAUGUGAAAUCCCGGGGCUCAACCCCGGGCCUGCAUCCGAUACUCCCGGGCUGGAGGCAGGUAGGGGAGAUCGGAAUUCCUGGUGUAGCGGUGAAAUGCGCAGAUAUCAGGAAGAACACCUAUGGCGAAGGCAGCACUCUGGGACGGUACUGACGCUGAGACGCGAAAGCGUGGGGAGCGAACAGG
rnacentral:rRNA from 1 species